rnacentral:pre_miRNA from 1 species
AUUGUACUCCCUCCGUCCCAAAAUUCUUGUCUUAAAUUUGUCUAAAUACGGAUGUAUCUAGUUACAUUUUAGUGUUAGAUACAUCCGUAUCUAAACAAAUGUAAGACAAGAAUUUUGGGACGGAGGGAAUACUAC